CCCCAAAGCCCCCCAAAUUCUGGGCCUCAUGAAACCAAACCGACUUUCGUGCCCAUUUGGUUAACACCCGCAUACAGUCCUACAUACUCGUGCCCUUUCUCUCUCUCUCUCUCUACCGUCACUCGAUUGGCGAUUUGAAGCAAAUCAGGUCUUGGAUGAUUUGACAUCCUGUCGGUUGAUACAUGAAAGAGAGAUAAGAUCGAAAAGUUAAAACGAGAGUUUUGGUCGGGUCUAGGGUUAGGGUUUUUGAAGGACUAGGGUUUUUGUAUCUUGUCUGAAACAUGGCGUCUUUGGAUUCCGAGAUUGCAAAGACUCAAGAGGAGAAGAAAGCGCUGGAGCAGCAGCUCGCGUCCCUCACUUCGGUCACUUACGACAAGGAUCUCUAUGGAGGUAACAACCGGUUCGAGGAUUAUGAGCUGUCGAUACCAGUGAACGAUGAGGAGGAGAAUUUGGACGCGAUGGAUUCGGAGGUGGCGAGGAAACUGGCUUCGUACACGGCCCCCAAGUCGAUACUGAAGGAUAUGCCGAGAGGGACAGGGGAGGAUUUAGACGAAGCGGGGUUCAAGAGGCCUCAGAGGAUUGUUGAUAGGGAGGAUGAUUACAGGAGGAGGAGAUUGAAUAGGGUGAUUUCACCGGAUAGGCACGAUGCUUUUGCUGCCGGGGAUAAGACCCCUGAUGUGUCUGUGAGGACUUAUCAGGAUGUGAUGCAAGAGGAGUUGUUGAAGAGGGAGAAGGACGAUACGUUGAGGGCAAUUGCGAAGAAGAAGAAGGAGGAAGAGGAGAGGAAGGCGGCGGGAGGGGAGAAGGAGAGUAGCGGCAGUGCAGUGGCUGCUGCUGCUUCUCAGCCUAGCCAGAAGAGGAGGAACAGGUGGGACCAGUCUCAGGAGGAUAACGCGGCGAAGAAAGCCAAGUCUGAUUGGGAUUUACCAGAUUCAACUCCCGGGAUUGGGAGGUGGGAUGCAACCCCAACUCCUGGUAGGGUUGUUGGCGACGCAACUCCUUCCCUUUCGAGGAGGAACAGGUGGGACGAGACUCCCACUCCCGGUCGUUUGGCUGAUUCUGACGCAACCCCGUCUGCUGGUGGGGUUACUCCCGGUGCUACUCCUGCUGGGAUGACUUGGGAUGCUACACCUAAGCUAGCCGGGCUUGCUACUCCCACUCCUAAACGGCAAAGGUCGAGGUGGGAUGAGACUCCUGCAACAAUGGGAAGUGCAACACCUAUGGCUGGUGCUACUCCUGCUGCUGCAUAUACCCCUGGUGUAACUCCUGUUGGUGGGGUUGAACUUGCUACGCCUACCCCUGGAGCUAUUAAUUUGCGUGGUGCCAUUACUCCCGAGCAAUAUAAUUUGUUGAGGUGGGAGAAAGAUAUUGAGGAGAGGAAUCGCCCGUUGACUGAUGAAGAGCUUGAUGCAAUGUUUCCAAUGGAGGGGUAUAAGAUUCUUGAACCCCCUCCUUCGUAUGUUCCCAUUAGAACACCUGCUAGGAAGCUCCUUGCUACGCCGACUCCGCUAGGGACUCCUCUUUAUUCGAUUCCUGAGGAAAACAGGGGUCAACAGUUUGAUGUUCCAAAGGAAUUGCCGGGUGGGUUGCCGUUCAUGAAGCCAGAGGAUUAUCAGUACUUUGGGGCACUAUUGAAUGAAGAAGAGGAGGAGGAGUUGUCACCUGACGAACAGAAAGAACGGAAAAUUAUGAAACUUCUGCUCAAGGUCAAGAACGGGACUCCUCCGCAGAGGAAAACUGCUUUGCGACAGCUCACGGACAAGGCUCGAGAUUUGGGUGCGGGGCCACUGUUUAAUCGAAUUUUGCCUUUGCUCAUGCAACCCACAUUGGAAGAUCAGGAGAGACAUCUUUUGGUUAAGGUUAUUGAUAGGGUGCUGUAUAAGUUGGAUGAGUUGGUUCGUCCAUUUGUGCACAAAAUUCUGGUGGUGAUUGAACCCCUGUUGAUUGAUGAAGAUUAUUAUGCCCGUGUAGAGGGCAGGGAGAUCAUUUCCAAUCUCAGCAAGGCAGCUGGCCUUGCGACCAUGAUUGCAGCAAUGCGUCCGGAUAUUGAUAACAUAGAUGAGUACGUGAGGAACACCACUGCCAGAGCCUUCAGCGUCGUUGCGUCUGCACUGGGAAUUCCUGCGCUGUUGCCGUUCUUGAAAGCUGUGUGUCAGAGUAAGAAAUCUUGGCAAGCUCGUCACACCGGCAUCAAGAUUGUUCAGCAAAUUGCUAUUUUGAUAGGCUGUGCGGUUCUUCCGCACUUGAGGUCUCUUGUGGAAAUCAUUGAACAUGGUCUCAAUGAUGAAAAUCAGAAGGUCAGAACUAUUACAGCUCUGUCAUUGGCUGCUCUUGCUGAGGCUGCUGCUCCCUAUGGUAUUGAAAGUUUUGACUCGGUUUUGAAGCCUCUGUGGAAGGGUAUUAGAUCCCACCGAGGGAAAGUCUUGGCUGCCUUCCUUAAGGCAAUUGGUUUCAUCAUUCCUCUGAUGGAUGCAAUAUAUGCCAGCUACUAUACGAAGGAAGUGAUGUUCAUUUUAAUCCGUGAGUUUCAAUCGCCCGAUGAAGAGAUGAAGAAAAUCGUGCUGAAGGUGGUGAAGCAGUGUGUGAGUACAGAAGGUGUGGAGGCUGAUUAUAUCCGAAGUGAUAUACUUCCCGAUUUUUUCAAAAACUUUUGGGUCAGAAGGAUGGCUUUGGAUCGCAGAAACUAUCGACAGCUUGUGGAAACCACUGUGGAGAUAGCAAACAAGGUUGGUGUCGCCGAUAUUGUUGGAAGAAUAGUUGAGGACCUUAAAGAUGAGAGUGAACCAUACCGGCGAAUGGUUAUGGAAACCAUUGAAAAAGUUGUUGCUAAUUUGGGAGCAUCUGACAUUGAUGCUCGAUUGGAGGAGCUGCUGAUUGAUGGAAUUCUUUACGCCUUCCAGGAGCAGACCAGUGAUGAUGCUAAUGUGAUGCUUAAUGGGUUUGGUGCAGUUGUAAAUGCUCUUGGGCAGAGAGUGAAGCCGUACCUUCCCCAAAUAUGUGGUACUAUCAAGUGGCGUCUGAAUAACAAGAGUGCAAAGGUAAGGCAGCAAGCAGCUGAUCUCAUCUCCAGGAUUGCUGUGGUAAUGAAGCAGUGCCAGGAAGAGCAACUAAUGGGCCAUCUUGGGGUUGUCUUGUAUGAGUAUUUGGGAGAGGAGUAUCCAGAAGUUUUGGGGUCGAUACUUGGAGCUCUCAAGGCAAUUGUUAAUGUCAUUGGUAUGACGAAAAUGACUCCUCCAAUAAAGGAUUUGCUUCCUCGAUUAACACCAAUCUUGAAGAAUCGUCACGAGAAAGUCCAGGAGAAUUGUAUCGACCUUGUUGGUCGAAUUGCUGACCGUGGUGCUGAGUUUGUACCGGCAAGAGAGUGGAUGAGGAUCUGUUUUGAGCUCCUGGAGAUGCUUAAAGCUCACAAAAAGGGUAUCCGUAGAGCUACUGUUAAUACUUUCGGGUACAUUGCAAAAGCUAUUGGACCACAAGAUGUUCUGGCGACACUACUGAACAAUCUCAAGGUGCAGGAACGUCAGAAUCGUGUUUGUACCACUGUUGCAAUUGCAAUCGUGGCGGAAACAUGUUCUCCAUUUACAGUUUUGCCAGCCUUGAUGAACGAAUACCGCGUGCCAGAGCUUAAUGUCCAGAAUGGAGUCCUGAAAUCGCUCUCAUUUCUGUUCGAAUACAUUGGUGAAAUGGGAAAGGAUUACAUUUAUGCAGUGACUCCAUUGCUAGAGGAUGCUCUCAUGGACAGGGAUUUGGUUCAUAGGCAGACUGCUGCUUCUGCUGUGAAGCACAUGGCUUUAGGAGUUGCUGGGUUGGGAUGCGAGGAUGCUUUAAUCCACUUGCUGAACUACGUCUGGCCAAAUAUUUUCGAGACAUCCCCACACGUUAUAAAUGCUGUCAUGGAAGCCAUUGAAGGGAUGAGAGUGGCGCUGGGAGCAGCUGUAGUGCUCAACUACUGCCUUCAGGGACUUUUCCAUCCAGCAAGGAAGGUUCGGGAAGUGUACUGGAAGAUCUAUAACUCAUUGUAUAUUGGCGCACAAGACGCACUUGUGGCUGCUUAUCCUGUGCUGGAGGACGAGGAGAGUAACAUAUUCAGUAGGCCUGAGUUGACCAUGUUCAUCUGAGUUGCUGCUAUCUGAAUGCUAGGUUGGUGUCGAGAACAGAUGAAGAUCUUUUGGAGACUUUUCAGCGAGUGUGCUUCACUCGCUAGUAUACUCUGAUUCGGCAGGGCAAUGGGUGAUGCAUGGCAAAGCAUUAGUUGUGGACAUAUAUGGGGAUGCUAUUUAGCACCAAGAUGGAUGAGCGACACAACAUUGAUACGGGUUUGAUAAGUACCAGCUCCUAGUUUGGGAAGUGUUGGUAAUUCCUUGUUCACAAAACACGGGUAAAUUGAGCUGCUGUUCCCCGUUGAGGCGAAUCAGUUCGGGUAGCUGUCCCUUACCGGAAUAUUCUUACUUUCACUCCUUUCUGUGCUCAACACAAAACAAUAUUGUGAUCUGGCCUCUGAAUAUAUGGAAAAAACGUACCUAUUAUGAACUCUGAAGUUCAUUGUGAGCCCCAUCGUACGGUUAAACUUCAGAUUAGAAAUCGUGAGAAAAACCCACGAUGAAAUUCCAACCUAAGAUGGAGUUCCAACGAUGGUGAACGAAUGUUUGUUGCGAUUUUGAAAAAGGGAAAUCCAUUCUAGGGUGGUCAUAGAGUGAUUCUGCAGACGGUGGCAGCUGAAUGAUUUUGCGGACAUGUUAGCAACUUAACAUUAUGGUCGUAUUUUUGGGUGUAUGUUAUCCAAAGUCGUUCAUAAGUUUGUCAAGUCUUGGGAAAGCUGCCAUUUUUGCGAUGCGUGGUCAUAUGUAUAUGUUGCUUUAGGUAUAUACUAUGUUGUUUUUUUUGCUCGGCGUAUAUACUAUGUUGUUGGGAAAA